CAGAGCACACAGUCCAGCUCAACUGAGCAGAGCACACAGUCCAGCUCAACUGAGCAGAGCACACAGUCCAGCUCAACUGAGCAGAGCACACACAGAGUCCAGCUCAACUGAGCAGAGCACACAGUGAGUCCAGCUCAACUGAGCAGAGCACACAGUGAGUCCAGCUCAACUGAGCAGAGCACACAGUGAGUCCAGCUCAACUGAGCAGAGCACACAGUGAGUCCAGCUCAACUGAGCAGAGCACACAGUGAGUCCAGCUCAACUGAGCAGAGCACAGAGUCCAGCUCAACUGAGCAGAGCACACAGUCCAGCUCAAAUGGAACAGCUUUACAGGCCUUUUUUCUGUCUUGUGUAUUUUUAUUUUUUUUGUAAAGGGGAAAAAAGAACAUUUGACUCAAUUAUCUUCAGCUUUUGUGUCUUUCUUUCUAGCUCAAAGCCUUCCUUCUUUGCCCAUGUGUCUUUCUGUUUCCAUCCCUCGUCCUGUCUCGCCAGCCCUGUUGCUUGCUGCACAUAAGGAGCCAACAGUUGUCCCUGGCUGGCUGGCUCGUUUUGAUUCCUAUGAAUGUUGAUGGCGCUGACAGUCCAGAGUGGUAACAAUGGGCUGGUUACACAACACAGGGCGCUCUCAGCGAUUCUGCUCAGCUGUCAGGACCCAUCAUUACACUGGGCCGUCACUCCAUCUCACAUUAUACAGUGCUGCUGGAAACAGGAGGAGCAUUGCUGGAGAGGGACCUCUCAGAUUUAGAUCUCUAUUGCUUACGCUACUGCAAGAGUGCAACAAUUAAUCUUACUCACCCAGUCAUGUGAUGGUUGUACCACUACCAUGGAUCACCACCAGCUGGCACCAUGUAGUCUACUCCAGUAGAACUCAUGGAUGGAUGGAGAUUAAUAUGUUACGUCAGGCCUUCAUUGUAAAUAAGAAUUUGUUUUUAAUUGAUCUGCCUGGUAAAAUGCAAUGCAUCAAUAAAAAGCCUGUGUGUGAUACACUGAUAGUGGUAACACCA